rnacentral:rRNA from 1 species
CUCUGGUGUACCAGUUGUCCUGCCAAGGGCAUGGCUGGGUAGCUAUGUACGGAAUGGAUAAGCGCUGAAAGCAUCUAAGCGCGAAGCCAACUUCAAGAUAAGAUUUCCCACCGCAAGGGUAAGACCCAAGAAAGACUAUCUGGUUGAUAGGUCGAAGGUGUAAGUGCAGUAAUGUAUUUAGCUUAUCGAUACUAAUAGGUCGAGGACUUGACCAA